CAGUCGCCGCGGGAAAACGUAGGUGGCAAGCGUUGUCCGGAAUUAUUGGGCGUAAAGGGCUCGCAGGCGGUUUCUUAAGUCUGAUGUGAAAGCCCCCGGCUCAACCGGGGAGGGUCAUUGGAAACUGGGAAACUUGAGUGCAGAAGAGGAGAGUGGAAUUCCACGUGUAGCGGUGAAAUGCGUAGAGAUGUGGAGGAACACCAGUGGCGAAGGCGACUCUCUGGUCUGUAACUGACGCUGUGGAGCGAAAGCGUGGGGAGCGAACAGGAUUAGAUACCCCUGUAGUCCCUGUCUCUUAUAU
rnacentral:rRNA from 1 species